UACGUAGGGGGCAAGCGUUGUCCGGAAUCAUUGGGCGUAAAGCGCGCGUAGGCGGCCUGAUAAGUAGGGGGUGAAAUCCUGUGGCUUAACUGCAGGGCUGCCUCCUAGACUGUUAGGCUCGAGCACGGUAGAGGCAGAUGGAAUUCCCGGUGUAGCGGUGGAAUGCGUAGAGAUCGGGAAGAACAUCGGUGGCGAAGGCGGUCUGCUGGGCCGUUGCUGACGCUGAGGCGCGACAGCGUGGGGAGCAAACAGG
rnacentral:rRNA from 1 species